AACGAACGCUGGCGGCAUGCCUAACACAUGCAAGUCGAACGAGACCUUCGGGACUAGUUGCGCACGGGUGCGUAACGCGUGGGAACCUGCCGUUAUGCUCCGAAUUACACCUCGAAAGGGGUGCUAAUACAGGGUAAUGUCCUCUGACCAAAGAUUCGUCCUCGUUGGGUGGGCCGGCGUUGGUUUAGCUAGUCGGUAGGGUAAAAGCCUACCAAGGCGACGCUCCAUAGCUGGUCUGAGAGGAUGAGCAGCCACACUGAGACUGAGACACGGCCCAGACUACUACGGGAGGCAGCAGUGGGGAAUAUUGGACAAUGGGGGGAAGCCUGAUCCAGCUAGGCCGCGUGAGUGAUGAAGGCGUGAGAGUAGUAAAGCUCGUUUACCCGGGAUGAUAAUGACAGUACCGAGAGAAUAAGCUCCGGCUAACUCCGUG
rnacentral:rRNA from 1 species